UACGUAGGGUGCAAGCGUUGUCCGGAAUUAUUGGGCGUAAAGAGCUCGUAGGUGGCCUGUCGCGUCGGCUGUGAAAACUCGGGGCUCAACUCCGAGCUUGCAGUCGAUACGGGCAGACUAGAGUGCGGUAGGGGAGACUGGAAUUCCUGGUGUAGCGGUGAAAUGCGCAGAUAUCAGGAGGAACACCGGUGGCGAAGGCGGGUCUCUGGGCCGUAACUGACGCUGAGGAGCGAAAGCGUGGGGAGCGAACAGG
rnacentral:rRNA from 1 species